UCCGGACGGAGUUUUAUCACGAAGGGGCCGCUGGGGAAGGUCCCCCUUCUUCUCAUCUGGUCUUGAAUGACCAGAUCUUAAUUGAUGUCGGGGCGAGGUUCUUUCCCUAUUUCUGUCGUAAUAAGGUUCAGCUCUGGUUAGGGCGAGGUUCGCCUCUUGUCCCUAACAGGGCUGUGGGGGCGCAUAUGGGCGUUGCAGGGCCUCUCCCCCCAUCUGCUCUAAAGGGAACCGGGCCUUCGACUUUGCUCAAGUUAGGGUGAGGUUCUCCUCCUGUCCCUAACAGGGCUGUGGGGGCGCAUAUGGGCGUUGCAGGGCUUCUCCCCCCAUCCGGUCUAAAUGGAACCGGGCCUUCGACUUUGUCGAGACGAGGUUUCCCUUUUGUUUUUGACACAGUUUGUUUGAAUUGUCCAAAGACAUAUAGGUAUGCAAUUUUUAAUUAAAACGAGGUUACUGGUAGUACAUCCGUAAGUUUUCUGAGCUCCACGGUCGCGGGAGGUCGGCUCCUCCGAGUUUCUUAAGAUAAUAAGUUCCGAGCCGGACUACUUCUUUGACUUCAUACGGUCCUUCCCAGUUUGGGGCGAGUUUCCCUCGGUCCUGAGGUUGCGAGACAGCGGCUCAUCGAAGCACUAGAUCUCCCACUCUAAAGGCUUUGUUCUUGACCCGGGCGUUGUAAUAUCGAGUGACUUUCUAUCUGUAGGCUGCCAUUCGAACCUGAGCUAUCUCCCGUCUUUCUUCCAGCAGGUCGAGGUUGGCUCUAAGACUUUGCGAAUUUUGACGUUCGUCGAAUGCCACGACUCGUGCCGACGGGAGUUUAAGCUCGAUUGGGAUGACAGCCUCCGUACCGAAGGCUAAAGCAAAAGGGGUCUCCCCCGUAGGUAGCCUCUGGGUAGUUCGAUACGCCC
rnacentral:lncRNA from 1 species